rnacentral:lncRNA from 1 species
AACCUUGCUGCAAGGUGUGACCCCGUUUCCAGCCAUUUUUAACAAAUGAAACCUGACCCUAGAGUAUGAUCCUUUGUAAGUUUUCUGACAAUAAUUGCAUUUGAAUUCAGCAUUCCCUCCUCCUUUUUUUCCCACUUUUUCGAGCUUUUUGACAUACUUCCACAACGGAGUAUGAUCAUUUUCAACAAUCUCAUCCAGAUUAGCAUUAUCAUCCGGAUUAGCAAUAUCAUUUGCAUGAUUAUUAGGGUGAUUCAUUUUCCUAAAUCAACAAACGUAUAAAAAGUAAGAGUUAAUCCACUGUAAAGACAAAGUUAUUAUAAUCUAAAUAUCCAUACUACUACACAAUAAUAUACUAUAAUAUGCAAAAUACAAUAAUAUUAUAAUAAUAGAAAAAGUUAAAAACAGAAAAGCAAAGUUGUCAUAUUUGAAUUGACUAUGCGGGUAGGAAUGGAUGGGUAUGUAGUGGGUAAUAUAAUAUUAUAUUCUUUUCCUAGGGAAUCAGAUUGUCUUCCUGGGUAUUUUUAAAUUAUCAUCUUCGAAUGGGUAGUCUUCCAAUGGCUAUUUUUAAAUUAUUGUCUUCGAAUGGGUAGAAUAGAAUCAGUAAAGCUGAGAGACUGGGGAAAAAACAACUAAAGCUCACCGGGUUAAGACUCACCAGGAGUUGCAGACAGACGAAGGAGACGACGGAGCAGUUGUAGACGAAGAAGAGGGAGACGACGGCGCAGUUGCAGAUGGAGAGAAGUUUCACGGAACAGUUGCAGAUGACGGAUUCGUGAAAGUCUCCAAGCAGAGUGAUUUCUGUGAGAGGUAAAUCCGAAUUUUAUUUUUUUUCUGAUUAUCCUUUGAUUUUAGAGUGAUUUCAGUUAACUAAGUUCGAUCAAUCACGAUUCUAUGCGGAUUUUUUGUGAUUUUUUUUCUGAUUAUCCUCCUAUUUCAGUUUCAAAUGUAUCCGAAAAGUAGGAUACACGUAUCUGGACAAUACGAUACGCGUAUCUCAUCAGUCCCAAACGUAUCCUUUCACUCCAAUACGUAUCGAACGCGUAUCCGCCCGUAUCCUCAGCGUAUCCGUAUCCUCAGCAUGUCAGAUACGGGAUACGGUUGCUUUCUCGCGUGUCCAUGCAUCAUAGGCGCGCACACACUGCAUGGAGUUGCAGGUUUUUUCAUUCCUUCAUUGCCACAAUAGAUUGAGAUUGAACCCCAAUAGAAGCGCGCAAACACACAUUACACGGAGUUGCAGGUUUUUUCAUUCCUUCAUUGCCACAACAGAUUAGAUUGAACCCCAAUAGAAGCAACAAUGUAUACAUUCUAUCGAAUGCAGUUCCCGUACGAAGAAAGUCGAGAACAAUCAAUCUUAAGUUGAAGGCACCACAAUCAUAGAGAGAUUAGCAGGUAAAAUCUCAAGUUAAUUUCAAAUAAGAAAGUAGAUAUAUAACUAAAGUAGCUAGAUAGUGGAACAUUAAGACAAACAAAUAAUUAACAACUGAAUUCAUUUCUAAGUGAAAUAUAAAACAGUAGUUAAGGACAGAAACUUACGUUGUUGAGCCAAAAGUUAGCUGCUACCAACGAAAUGAACAGCACUGCAUCUACGAAACAACAUCAAGGCGGCUCAAAUGAUAACAAUAUCUAACCUCUUUUGACCAACGAACAUCAUACAUCCUGGAUUCCAACUUUUCCUUGAUACACACUCAAUAACUGAG